GUACCUACGGGGGGCAGCAGUCGGGAAUAUUGCGCAAUGGAGGAAACUCUGACGCAGUGACGCCGCGUGCAGGAAGAAGGUUUUCGGAUUGUAAACUGCUUUAGACAGGGAAGAAACAAGACAGUACCUGUAGAAUAAGCUCCGGCUAACUACGUGCCAGCAGCCGCGGUAAUACGUAGGGAGCAAGCGUUAUCCGGAUUUAUUGGGUUUAAAGGGUGCGUAGGCGGGCUUUUAAGUCAGCGGUAAAAAUUCGGGGCUCAACCCCGUCCGGCCGUUGAAACUGGGGGCCUUGAGUGGGCGAGAAG
rnacentral:rRNA from 1 species